AAUGCCGCGUGUGUGAAGAAGGCCUUCGGGUUGUAAAGCACUUUUGUCCGGAAAGAAAUGGCUCUGGUUAAUACCUGGGGUCGAUGACGGUACCGGAAGAAUAAGGACCGGCUAACUACGUGCCAGCAGCCGCGGUAAUACGUAGGGUCCAAGCGUUAAUCGGAAUUACUGGGCGUAAAGCGUGCGCAGGCGGUUGUGCAAGACCGAUGUGAAAUCCCCGAGCUUAACUUGGGAAUUGCAUUGNUGACUGCACGGCUANAGUGUGUCAAAGGGGGGUAGAAUU
rnacentral:rRNA from 1 species